CCUUACCAUCCCUUGACAUCCAGAGAAUUUACUAGAGAUAGUUUAGUGCCUUCGGGAACUCUGAGACAGGUGCUGCAUGGCUGUCGUCAGCUCGUGUUGUGAAAUGUUGGGUUAAGUCCCGCAACGAGCGCAACCCUUAUCCUUAGUUGCUAACAGUUAGGCUGAGAACUCUAAGGAGACUGCCGGUGACAAACCGGAGGAAGGUGGGGACGACGUCAAGUCAUCAUGGCCCUUACGGGAUGGGCUACACACGUGCUACAAUGGCAAGUACAAAGGGUUGCGAACUCGCGAGAGUAAGCGGAUCCCAUAAAGCUUGUCGUAGUCCGGAUUGGAGUCUGCAACUCGACUCCAUGAAGUCGGAAUCGCUAGUAAUCGUGGAUCAGAAUGCCACGGUGAAUACGUUCCC
rnacentral:rRNA from 1 species